rnacentral:rRNA from 1 species
GAUGAACGCUGGCGGCGUGCCUAAUACAUGCAAGUCGAGCGAACAGACGAUAAGCUUUCUCCUCUGACGUUAGCGGCUGACGGGUGAGUAACACGUGGAUAACCUACCUCUAAUUCUGGGAUAACUUCGGGAAACCGGAGCUGAUACCGGAUAAUAUAUUCAACCGCAUAGUUCAGUAGUGAAAGGCGGUUUUGCUGUCACUUAUAGAUGGAUGCGCGCCGGAUUGGCUGGUUGGUAAGGUAACGGCUUACCAAGGCAACGAUGCUGAUCGGACCUGAUAGGGUGAUCGGCCAAACGGGAACUGAGAAACGGUCCAGAUUCCUACGGGAGGAAGAAGUAGGGAAUCUUCCGAAAUGGGCGAAAGCUUGACCGAGCAACGCGGGGUGAGUGAUGAGGGUCUUCGGUUCGUAAAACUCUGUUAUUAGGAAAGAAAAAAUGUGUAAGUAACUAUGCAGGUCUGGACGGAACCAAAGAAGAAAGCCACGGCUAACUACGG